rfam:Triticum aestivum genome assembly, contig: Triticum_aestivum_CS42_TGACv1_scaffold_094693_2AL
AAAAUACUUCCUCUGUCUGAAAUUACUUGUCAGAGAAAUUUGAUGUAUCUACAUGUAUUUUAAUUCUAAAUGCAUUCAUUUUUAUUCAUUUUUGCAACAAGCAAGUUCGGACGGAGGGAGUACAAG